UGUAAGAAUUGCUGGAUAAGAACUGUUAAUUCUACAACGAGGAAGACAACACAUCAAGAGAGGUUUCAGUUGCAGAUUCUUCUCAGUUUGACUUGCAUAGCCAGACUUGUGGACAAAAGUAAAGGAAACAUAUUUUUUGGGGGCUCAUUUGAAGUCAGUUAAUUGAAUUAGGGAGUGAAGAGAGAGACAUGGAGGCUGUUUUUGGAUUGUUGGUGAUGAUAGCAGGAGUGUCUCGUGAGGAGAGGCGAAACUGAUCAGAGGACCAAUACGCGGCGUGGCAUGUUGACCUCCUCCUGUGAUGCUAGAGAGGAUGGAUGUCAGUGUUAUGGAGCUCUGGGAGGAACUGUCUAUCUCCAGCUGACUGAUACCACAGUAUCUGAACUCACAUUUAAAAAAGAUCCCACUGGUGUAACUACAGAGAUACUCCGAAUGAGAAGAAACAAAAUGAUCAUCGCUGACUCCAUUAAAGCUAGAUCAGAGUUCUUCAUGAACAACAGGAGAUUUAGGAUGGAUAACACAGAAAGGACGGAUUCUGAUGAAUACCUCUUAGAAACAUUUCAUUCUAAUGGAAGUUCAAUGGCCACCAGAAGACUACACCUGUUCAUUGAAGGACCUGGGUUCAAUGUGUUUGUUUAUUUCCAAUUUGCUGAAGUCUUCAUUCUGCUGGCAAUCUGUCUGGGAUCAUACUGUUUCUACAAGAAGAAGACUUGUCCUCAAGAGCAAUGUCAGUAAAUAUGCAUUGUACCUUUCAAUUAAGGUAUAGCUUUUAAAAAAAAGUUUCUCAUUUUAUUCUGCUUAGUUCUCUGUCUGUCUGUCUGUCUGUCUGUCUGUCUGUCUGUCUG